rnacentral:rRNA from 1 species
AUACGUAGGUGGCGAAGCGUUGUCCGGAUUUACUGGGCGUAAAGGGAGCGUAGGCGGAUUUUUAAGUGGGAUGUGAAAUACCCGGGCUUAACCUGGGUGCUGCAUUCCAAACUGGAAGUCUAGAGUACAGGAGGGGAAAGUGGAAUUCCUAGUGUAGCGGUGAAAUGCGUAGAGAUUAGGAAGAACACCGGUGGCGAAGGCGACUUUCUGGACUGUAACUGACGCUGAGGCUCGAAAGCGUGGGGAGC